rnacentral:rRNA from 1 species
GAUGAACGCUAGCGGCAGGCCUAACACAUGCAAGUCGAGGGGCAGCACGGUGUAGCAAUACAUUGGUGGCGACCGGCGCACGGGUGCGUAACGCGUAUACAAUUUGCCUUAUACUGGGAGAUAGCCCGGAGAAAUUCGGAUUAAUAUCCCAUAAUAUUUUUUCACCGCAUGGUGAGAAUCUUAAAGCUACGGCGGUAUAAGAUGAGUAUGCGUCUGAUUAGCUAGUUGGUGAGGUAAUGGCUCACCAAGGCGACGAUCAGUAGGGGGCCUGAGAGGGUUAUCCCCCACACUGGAACUGAGACACGGUCCAGACUCCUACGGGAGGCAGCAGUGAGGAAUAUUGGUCAAUGGAGGCAACUCUGAACCAGCCAUGCCGCGUGUAGGACGAAUGCCCUNUGGGUUNUAAACUACUUUUAGUGGGGAANAACCCUCUUACGUGUAAGAGGCUGACGGUACCAAGGAAUAAGGACCGCUAACUCCGUGCCAGCA